rnacentral:rRNA from 1 species
GUUAGGAAUAUUCGUCAAUGGGGGAAACCCUGAACGAGCAAUGCCGCGUGAACGAUGAAGGCCCUUCGGGUUGUAAAGUUCUGUUGUUUGGAAAGAAUCUCAUGUAUAGGAAAUGAUACAUGACUGACGGUACCAUUCAAGAAAGCCACGGCUAACUACGUGCCAGCAGCCGCGGUAAUACGUAGGUGGCGAGCGUUAUCCGGAUUUAUUGGGCGUAAAGCGUCCGCAGCCGGCUUAUUAAGUCUAAGAUUAAAGCCCGAGGCUUAACCUCGGUUCGUUUUAGAAACUGGUAGGCUUGAGUGUGGUAGAGGCAAGUGGAACUUCUAGUGUAGCGGUAAAAUGCGUAGAUAUUAGAAAGAACACCAGUGGCGAAGGCGACUUGCUGGGCCACCACUGACGGUCAGGGACGAAAGCGUGGGGAGCAAAUAGGA